GCCGGGCGUGGUGGCUCACGCCUGUAAUCCUAGCACUCUGGGAGGCUGAGGCGGGUGGAUCGCUCGAGGUCAGGAGUUCGAGACCAGCCUAAGCAAGAGCGAGACCCCGUCUCUACUAAAAAUAGAAAGAAAUUAUAUGGCCAACUAAAAAUCUAUAUAGAAAAAAUUAGCCGGGCAUAGUGGCGCAUGCCUGUAGUCCCAGCUACUCGGGAGGCUGAGGCGGGUGGAUCGCUCGAGGUCAGGAGUUCGAGACCAGCCUAAGCAAGAGCGAGACCCCGUCUCU
rnacentral:sRNA from 1 species